UCAAAAAUCCACUGUGGGGGCCAUUGUCAUGCAAGUGCGCAAGAGCCAUUGUCUUCUGCUACGCAGGACUGUAACUCUCUGCAAUCUGCAGGACAUAGUGGAUGGAUUCACAGCAAUGGGUUCCCAAAUUGUGGUGGAGCAAUAGAUGACAGAUGCUUUAAAGGGAAAAGAAAAAGAAAAUAAGAGAGAGGGGGAAACCACUCAUACAGAGAGUGCAGCCUGAGGCUGUAAUCCUGCUUUCAAGAGGACACAUUAAAAAGAAACCUCAGAAAAGCCUUCAACUACCAGGUACAGGAAGGCAUCAAAGAGCCCCAUCACAGGCAAGAAGCAAGAAUGAUAAAGACCUCUCUUACUUUUGUUAAUAUUCUAAUCUCUCUUUCUCCACUGAAAAUCCU